AGAGCGAAGCGAGCGGCGUGUAGGCGGGCUGAAGACAACGCCAGCAUUGCUGGAUUUUCCUCCAAUCCACGACCCUCCGGGACACUGAAGGAAUGCUAUUUAACAGAACAGUCAUCGUUCACGAGCAUCUCUGCAUCUGUCUUCAGGAUUUGGGGCUGGCUGAUUUGGCCUUCCUGGGCCUUUAGAGAUCAGGUCUGCUACAAUGUCUGACCACUGUGCCUUUUCCAGCCACUUAGCUUUAGCUUCUGAGACCAGUAUGUGGACCAGCUGAUAAAGGUCUGAAUGACCCGGGUCAUAGGUUCUGAUAAUGAGCUCAAACUCUUGAGCAAACCCAAUUGGAUCUUUACGGGAGGCAGGAAAUUCUUUAUGCCUCGCAACUCAGCCAUUAACCAGGGUUGACAGACAAUCACAGGGGUUCCCCUAACUGUUAACAGUUGUUCCCGAAACGGGUUGAUCAUGAGAGGAGUCCCUAUGGUGUCCCCUUUUCCAUGUCUUCCAGAUGAGAGGCUGCCACUGGCGUUACCAGAGAAUCGGC
rnacentral:sRNA from 1 species